rnacentral:rRNA from 1 species
AAUUUUGGACAAUGGGCGCAAGCCUGAUCCAGUCAUGCCGCGAGAGUGAAGUAGGCCAUCGGUUUGGAAAGCUCUUUCGGUCGGAAAGAAAUCGCGCAGGAUAAUACCCGGCGCGGUUGACGGUACCGUCAUAAGAAGCACCGGCUAACUACGUGCCUGCAGCCGCGGUAAUACGUAGGGUGCGAUCGUUAAUCGGAAUUACUGGGCGUAAAGCGUGCGCAGUCGGUUGAUUAAGACAGGCGUGAAAUCCCCGGGCUUAACCUGGGAACUGCGCUUGUGACUGGUCAGCUAGAGUACGGCAGAGGGGGGUGGAAUUCCACGUGUAGCAGUGAAAUGCGUAGAGAUGUGGAGGAACACCGAUGGCGAAGGCAGCCCCCUGGGCCGAUACUGACGCUCAUGCACGAAAGCGUGGGUAGCAAACAGG